rnacentral:tRNA from 1 species
GAGGUUGUGGCUCAGUGGUAGUGCACUUGCUUAGCAUGCAUGAGGCACUGGGUUCGAUUCUCAGCACCACA